rnacentral:rRNA from 1 species
GACGAACGCUGGCGGCGUGCCUAAUACAUGCAAGUCGAGCGAUGAAGAUUGGUGCUUGCGCCCAUUUGAAGAGCAGCGAACGGGUGAGUAACGCGUGGGGAAUCUGCCUUUGAGCGGGGGACAACAUUGGGAAACGAAUGCUAAUACCGCAUAACAACUUUAAACAUAAGAUUUAAGUGUGAAAGAUGCAAUUGCAUCACUCAAAGAUGAUCCCGCGUUGUAUUAGCUAGUUGGUGAGGUAAAGGCUCACCAAGGCGAGGAUACAUAGCCGACCUGAGAGGGUGAUCGGCCACAUUGGGACUGAGACACGGCCCAAACUCCUACGGGAGGCAGCAGUAGGGAAUCUUCGGCAAUGGACGAAAGUCUGACGAGCAACGCCGCGUGAGUGAAGAAGGGUUUCGGAUCGUAAAACUCUGUUGGUAGAGAAGAAAGUUGGUGAGAGUGGAAAGCUCAUCAAGUGACGGUAACUACACAGAAAGGGACGGCUAACUACGUG